GCAUUAAUGGGGUAGUGGUAACCUGGGUCGUUGCCAUGAGAUUCUCUACUACUACUAUCUCGACCCGCCGGGGGUUCGAUUCCCUCUUAAUGCA